CCCUUAGAUGUUCUGGGCUGCACGCGCGCUACAAUAAUACGCACAGCGAGUAUCACCGAGCUCGAAAGGGCAAGGUAAACAAUAGAAAAGGUACUGUAAUGGUUAUAGAUCCUUGUAAUUAUUGAUCUUCAACGAGGAAUUCCUAGUAAGUAUGUGUCAUCAUCACGCACUGAUUACGUCCCUGCCCUUUGUACACACCGCCCGUCGCCCCUACCGAUUGGGUGAGCCGAUGAAACUCUCGGAUGUAGGCUAUUCAUAGCCCGCAGAAGAGAUUUGAAUCGUAGCGCUUAGAGGAAGGAGAAGUCGUAACA
rnacentral:rRNA from 1 species